AUAUUUUUAUUUGUAACACAAUAAUAAAGUUAAUAUAAAUGUCAAAUUUCAAAAAAAAAAAUUAAUGUCUAUACACUAAAAUCAAAUAUUUUUCUUUUCUUAGAAUAAUUAUAUCUUAAAAUAAAAAAUCUAAAUAAGAAACAUUUAUAAAUUAAUAAAAUUUCAAAGUUCCAACAUUAUUAAUUUAUAGAGGUUUUACUGUAUAUAUAUAUAUAAUCUUUCCAUGAUGAGGAAAGAUGGACGUCUAAUAAUACAAUUAUCCAUCAACUAAAAACAUGGUUCAGAAUCUUAUUUUAAAAUUAUUAUUAUUAUUAUUAUUAUUCGUUUUAUAUAAAACACUUAUUCUAUAAAUUAACUUUAUGCUCAGGAUCUACAAUAUUUAUAUAUAUUGUAUCAUUAAACAUAUUGUACUAUAUCAUUUUACAUUAUAUAGUUUCAAAUAUUUACAAACUCAAAUUUAAUAAAAAUAGUUUGGCAAAUCAUAUGUUAAAAAUAUAUAUAUAUAUAUAUAUAUAUAUUACAUCAACUUAAUCUUUAUAAAAAUUAUUAUAAUAAAAAUAAUUAUUAAGAAAGUUUAAAAACUAUUGAAAACAUACAAAUAUGUUCUAUUGAGUUAGCUAAAAAAUUCUACUAAGUAAAUCUUAAUCCAUAUCAAUUUAACAAAUGUAACUCUUAUAAAAUAAACAAGAUAUAGUGAGAGAGUAGGUCUGGGUAUUCAGAUAUUCGGGUCAACUGCUUUUAAUCUGGAUUCUUUGGAUCAUAAACAUUUAGACACAAUAAAUAUUUGAAUUCUUUUAAUUAGGGUUUAGGUUGGUUCCAUGUCCGGGUCGGUUCGGAAUAAUAAUUCAAAUACAUGUAACAGACAUGUAAUAUUUGGGUACAUAUCAGGUUUAGGUUGGUUCAUAUAUUAAGAUCUGAAAAGAUUAGAAAUACCUGAAUUAACCUUAAAAUAAUCUGAAACUUGAAAAAUAACCAAAAACUCAACAAAUACCCAAAAUAUAUUCAGAUACUCGAAAAAGAUCUGAAAUGCUUCCCGAAAUAUAACCCAUAAAACCAAAAAUGCCAAAAAUAUAUUUUAAAUUUUUUUACAUGAAAUCUAAAAGUAUAACUGAAAACUUAACUAAAAAAAAAAAGAAUAUCUGUAAUAUCGAAAACAUAUCCCAAAUACACAAAUAUACCUAAUAUACACACAACAUUUCAUGUACGUUGGGUAUCAGACCGGGUUUUGGGUAGGAUCCGUCCGAACCAAGAUCUACUGGUCCAAAAAAUACCCAAUAUGUACAUUUCCCUAGACUCGGACACGAUCGUUUUUUAGAUUCGAGUAAAUGUCUAGGUUUAAGAAAGAUAAUUAUAUAAAAAUGUACAUAAAAAAUCUCAAAUAAACUAAUUCAUAAAUUAUAUAAUUUUGAACAAAUUCACUUCUUCAAUAUUAUACAAUUUUGUUACAUAAUAAUAUACAACAACCACAAAAUACUAAUUCGUGUCAAAUUUUGUCUAUAAUUAAAAAAAUCACGCUUCGAGUAUAAUCCAAAAACCCCCCGCGUUUUCGAAGCGCGGGUCAAAAUCUACUACUUUAUUAAUUUAGUUCAUAUAGCUUGGAUUAUAAUAAAAUUAGCAUGCUUAUUUUUAAUAGAAAAAAGAGCAGACAUAAAUAAAAGAACAAGAAAGAAGAAUAAUAAAAUAUGUUUGUUGUGUUCUUGGUAUUUUUAUAUUUUUAUGUAUUUAAUUUUUAUUUGUUUGUCGAGGUACAUGUAAAUUUUUUUAUCACUAUAAAUGUAAACUAAUUAAUUUUAUGUGUUUUUAAAAUGUUAAAAUAAAUUUAGUAAGGAAGUUCAAUAAAAAUGACCAUCUCUACAAUUGUUAAAGUCAAAGAUGGAAAAUAUAAUGUAAAUUAAAAGUAAGAGAAAAAUAUUUAAAAAUUAAUGAAAUGUAUUUUUUACGCUAUAAUAAACUUUUAAAAUGUACGAUAAUAAAAUUUUAACAAAAUUUAUACAAAUAAAAACAUUUUAUUUCAUAUAAUAUUGGAUCUUACAUUAAUAUUAAGUAUAUAUGCCUCAAAUAACGACAUUUGGUUAUUUAAAAAUUGAAAUAUUAUUUUUUCUUAUUAGUUAAUCAGAUUUAAAUAAUAUUUGUAUGUUUUAAUUUAAUUUAAAAUAAAUUAAAACAAUAAUUUUAAAAGAUAUGUAAACUAUGAUUAGUUUUAAUUAAAAACAUUUGGUUGAAUAUGAGUUAGUGUUUGAUAAAAUAGUGUGAUGAUCAGGGAUAAUUUAAGGAAGAAUUUGUUUGCUUAACCCAUUUGAGUUUUAUAUUAAACACUAAAUUAAAAAAAAAUGCUUGAAAAGUGUGAUUUGGAACAAAUUAUGAGAAAAAUUGCUUAAACUACUAUUUUCCUAAUACAUGUUUUUAUGUUUACCUUAACCAAAUUUAUCCUUAAUUUUAAGGAGAUAAAUCCUACUAUAUAUUAACUGAGAAGCCACUUAAUUGACUUUUGAUUAUGCUCCUUUAACAGGUUAAGUUUUAAAAAAAUAGUUAUAAUUUGAUGGGUUGUUAACAUUUAUUAGUUAAAAUUUUAAUUAGAUCUAAAAAUAAAAGGUAACUCUAGAACUAAUUGAUACAAAUUACCAAAUAACAAAAAUGAUAUUACAAAUAAUGAUUUAUGAUAACUAAUUGUAGAAUUAGAGAAAUGAUAUAUAUGUUUUAUCAAUUUCUUUAUUUUUAUCAAUUAAUUAUAUAUAAUAAAAUAAAAUACUUUUGCAUUUUUUAUAGAAAUAAAUUUAAUGGUUAUAUAUUAUUAUAUAAAAGAAUUAUAUUUGUAGGUAAGGAAUUAUUAUAAAUUUUAUGUUUUUAAAGCCCACACAAAGCCAUUUA